UCUACUUUCACUUUUCCUUUGACCGUAAACGGUGGGCGUUUUUGUGAUCAAGCGAGAAUAGACUGAGAAUACGAUCAAAAAUAUCUACAUCUAACAGUAUUUGGGGUUUUUUUUCCAUCCCAGCGUCUUUUCUUUUGCUCCUGUAGGCUCAGCUUGCACAGCAGGUGAAAUCAUGGAUGAUUUGCUUAAGGAAAUAAGAAGCAAGGAUGAAGCAGCAGCAUCUGUACUGGAAAUAGCAGGUUUGAGAGCUGACUCAGAUCUCCGGUCACUGACUUUACAAGAACUGGGUGAGCUGUUGCCUGGAGCUAAAAAUUUCAAACUGAGAAGGGAAAUCUUUGAUAUAAUACAGACGCAGAAACCAAUUGGUGAGCUCAUAAAAGAAUUCAAGAACUUCAUCCCACAUGAAUCUCUCGGCACUACCUUAACGGAAAAUGGAAUCUUGGUCAACUACCUGAAAAUGUUGAAGGAAAUGAAGAACCAAAUGCAAACAGCGCAGGAUUUCCUUGAUGCUCAUAUCCGUCUACUGGAAGACAUCAGGAAAUCUAAACCAUCGCAGGACCAGAACAGAGGAUCUUUGUCAAGUAGUCACAAUAGCCAAACUGGUGACCCUCCACAAACACAACAAGAUACAAGUACCAGUAGUUCAAUGCUGCCCCCACCUUCUACUACCUCCACUGGUGACCAUCCACAGAAAAGAAAAGGUGAAAUCAUGGAUGUUUUGCUUAAGGAAAUAAGAAGCAAAGAUGGAAAAGCAGCCUCUAUACUGGAAAAGGCAGGUUUGAGAGCUGACUCAGAUCUCCAGUUACUGACUUUACAAGAGCUGGGUGAGCUGUUCCCUGGAGUUGAAAAUAUCAAAUGGAGAAGGGAAAUCUUUGCUAUAAUACAGACGCAGAAACCAAUUGAUGUGCUCAUAGAAGAAUUCAAGAACUUCAUCCGACAUGAAUCUCUCAGGGCUGCCUUAACGGAAAAUGGAGUCUUGGUCGACUACCUGAAAAUGUUGAAGGAAAUGAAGACCCAAAUGAAAACAGUGCAAGGUUUCCUUGAUGCUCAUAUCAAUCUACUGGAGGACUUGAGGAAAUCUCAACCAUCGCAGGACCAAGACAAAGGUUCUUUGUCAAGUAGUGACAAUAGCCAAACUGGUGACCCUCCACAAAUACAACAAGAUAUAACUGCCAGUAGUGCAAUGAUGUCCCCACCCUCUCCUACCUCCACUCCAGACCAUCCAAAGAAAAGAUCAGGUUCUUUGUCAAGUAGUGACAAUAGCCAAACUGGUGACCCUCCACAAAUACAACAAGAUAUAACUGCCAGUAGUGCAAUGAUGUCCCCACCCUCUCCUACCUCCUCUCCAGACCAUCCAAAGAAAAGACCAGGUUCUUUCUCAAGUAGUCCAGCGAAGCGCCACAAUAACCAAACUAGUGAUUCUUCACAAAUACAACAAGAUAUAACUGCUAGUAGUGCAAUGAUGUCCCCACCCUCUCCUACCUCCACUCGAGACCAUCCAGAGGAAAGAUCAGGUUCUUUGUCAAGUAGUGACAAUAGCCAAACUGGUGACCCUCCACAAAUACAACAAGAUAUAACUGCCAGUAGUGCAAUGAUGUCCCCACCCUCUCCUACCUCCUCUCCAGACCAUCCAGUGAAAAGACCAGGUUCUUUGUCAAGUAGUGACAAUAGCCAAACUGGUGACCCUCCACAAAUACAACAAGAUAUAACUGCUAGUAGUGCAAUGAUGUCCCCACCCUCUCCUACCUCCACUCGAGACCAUCCAGAGGAAAGAUCAGGUUCUUUGUCAAGUAGUCACAAUAGCCAAACUGGUGACCCUCCACAAAUACAACAAGAUAUAACUGCCAGUAGUGCAAUGAUGUCCCCACCCUCUCCUACCUCCUCUCCAGACCAUCCAGAGAAAAGACCAGGUUCUUUGUCAAGUAGUCACAAUAGCCAAACUGGUGACCCUCCACAAAUACAACAAGAUAUAAUUGCUAGUAGUGCAGUGAUGUCCCCACCCUCUCUUACCUCCACUCCAGACCAUCCAGAGGAAAAACCAGGAUCUUUGUCAAGUAGUCACAAUAGCCAAACUGGUGACCCUCCACAAAUACAACAAGAUAUAACUGCCAGUAGUGCAAUGAUGUCCCCACCCUCUCUUACCUCCUCUCCAGACCAUCCAGAGAAAAGACCAGGAUCUUUGUCAAGUAGUCACAAUAGCCAAACUGGUGACCCUCCACAAAUACAACAAGAUAUAAUUGCUAGUAGUGCAAUGAUGUCCCCACCCUCUCCUACCUCCACUCCAGACCAUCCAGAGGAAAAACCAGGUUCUUUGUCAAGUAGUGACAAUAGCCAAACUGGUGACCCUCCACAAAUACAACAAGAUAUAACUGCCAGUAGUGCAAUGAUGUCCCCACCCUCUCUUACCUCCACUCCAGACCAUCCAGAGAAAAGACCAGGUUCUUUCUCAAGUAGUCCAGCGAAGCGCCACAAUAGCCAAACUAGUGACUCUUCACAAAUACAACAAGAUUGCAGUAGCAGGAGCCGGAGUCUUUCUAGGCUCUCUUUUAUUUCCACCUAUGUCCAGCCACAGAAAAGACAAGUGACGUACAAGAUGGUCGUCAGCGGAGUAACCUUUGAUGCCCAUAACCAGCUACUGGACAGAGUAACGACUUCAAUCGGGGGUAGAGCUUUAAAGUUGCUCAGUCAGGAGGAUGGUGAAGUCAUCAUUGUCUUCUGUCCUGUUGUUUCACGUAUGGGGACAGAUGUUGAGGCAGCCAUGGCAAAAAUCACAGGUGAUAAACCUGUCAUACUGGUUGUGAUGCAUCACACAUAUGGAGCCAGAUCUGUACCCUCAGUGAAAACAUGGAAGGAUUCUUGUAAGGUCGUUUUGCAUGUUCAUGUUUUCUACCAUGAGAAGGUCCCUGGAUUGCUGUCGUGUCAGGAAAAUAAUGAUGCCAUCUCCAGGAUACGAACAGAAUUACUGAAAUAUGGUGUUGACAUAACAGAAAGUACAAGUGGAGAUGAUCAGAGUUGGUUAAGUUCGCAAGUUUCCCGGUUUCAAAAUUCAUUUAAAAAAAAGAAACAAUGAAAGUAUAAUGCCUGCAACUACAAGUAAAAGAAACUAUAAUAGCUUGUGUCAGCUUCAGCUGUAAAUAGAAGAAACAGUAAAAAACAAGUACAGCUUAUUUGUCUGCAUCUGUACUGUCUGUGUGUUUAUCAUCAGUUCAAGUCUAAAAGAGUUAUUGUCAUGUGAAAACAUGACAUGACAUAUUAGUUUUUGUGUGGUUGUACACCAGUCAGGACUUUAUCUAAUACAACUGAAAAAACAAAAACCACAAAUGAGCAUUUUAUGGUGCGUGGGAAUCAUUUAUAUUUAAAAAAAAGUUCAAGGAUUCAAAGAUUAGUAUUUUUAGUAUUUCUUUAGUUACGCAAAUAAAGUCAGGGUUUAAGAUAAGAUAAGAUAAGAUAAGAUAACCCUUAUUAGUCUCACACGUGGGAAAUUUGUUUAAAAUAUUUGUUUAAAAUUUAAAAUGCUGAUAUACUGUAUGAAUAGAACUUUAUUGUGCUACUGUUUUAUCUUUUUUUUGUAUUUUUUUUUUUGGGGGGGGGAGUCCUGAACACGUCAAAACACCAGUGUAAUGAUAAUCCACUAUAGCCUGUUCUAUGGAACAGCACUGGUUCAGCUAAUAUUUCUGUCUUUAGUUUCUAUAUUCUGUACAAAGACACCUGAAAGUAGAUUAGGACUGUAAUGCAAAGCCCAUCUUUAGCUAUGUACAUGUUCAUGUCUUUCCCACAGUUCAGAAGAGCAAAUAAAGUCAGGGUUUAAGUUAAGAUAAGAUAAGAUAAGAUAACCUUUAUUAGUCCCACACGUGGGAAAUUUGUUUAAAAUAUUUGUUUAAAAUUUAAAAUGCUGAUAUACUGUGUGAAUACAACUUUAUUGUGCUACUGUUUUAUCUUAUUUUUAUUUUUAUUGGGGACUCCUGAACACUCACCAGUGUAAUGAUAAUGCACUACAGGUGGUUUUAAGGAACGUCAGUGGUUCAGCUAAUAUUUCUGUCUUUAGUUUCUAUAUUCUGUACAAAAACAGAUUUACACUACAGUGCAAAGCCCACACUUGAAAAGCAUUCAUAAACUAUAUAGAUGCAAACAUUUUAAAAAGAUCAUAGAUGGAAAUGGAAAAGAUUUUAUAAAUAGAAAACCAAAUGAUACAUAAGUGAUCAUAAUAUCUGUGCUUUUUUAGUUCUAUGUUUCCCCCCAAAGGCCAAUAUAUCAAAACAAAGCAGAAUGAUUUAAAUGUUCUCAUUAACUUAUUCUUUUAUCCAGUGCUUUAAAGUCUCACUAAAAUGCCUACUGUAUACAGUGUAUUAAGUAGCUUAUUAACGGUUAUAGCAAAAUGAGCUCUGGUGCUACAUAGUAAGAUUGAAACAUUUUUUUUUUCGCCUUAUGGGUGGUGUAAACUUUAUCAUUUAAAUGAAGAUGAACUAUCAGAAACUGCACUGUGUUCCAGUGUAAUUUAUAGAAGGCAGCAGGUGAAAAAGUCUGUGUCCAAGGUGUGAGGGAUCUGUAAUGAUUUUCCCUGCCCAUUACAAGUCCUGGAUGGAGGGCAGGGGGCGCCGAUAAUCUUUUCUGCUACCCGUACAGUCCGCUGCAGUCUGCACCUGUCCUGUUUAGUGGCUGCUCCAUACCAAACUGUGAUGGAGUAACACAGGACAGACUCAAUGACUGCAGUGUAGAACUGGAUCAGCAGCUCUUGUGAAAGACUGUACUUCCCCAGUUGUCUCAGGAAGUACGACGUCUGCUGUGUCUUUUUGAGGAUGGAGGAGAUGUUAGUCUCUCACUUCAGGUCCUGGGAGAUGGUGGUACCCAGGAACUUGAAGAUCUCCACAGUAGACACCGGGCUGUCUGAUAAUGUGAGAGGGAGCAAUAAUUGAGGGAUGUCUCCUGAAGUCCACUGUCAUCUCUACAGUCUUAAGUGUGUUCACUUCCAGGUUGUGCUGACUGGACCAGAGUACUCAGCUCAACUUCCUGUCGAUAUGCAGACUCAUCACCAUCCUGAAUGAGGCCAAUGACGGUGGUGUCAUCUGCAAAAAUCAGGAGUUGCAGCUGAACAGCCGAGUUCUUGGAGGUGCAGUCAUUGGUGUAGAGGGAGAACAAUAGUGGUGAGAGGAUACAGCCUUGAGGGGCACCAAUACUGAGGGACCGUGUUCUGGAGGACAUCUACAAGAAGCAGUGCCUGAGAAGCAGCAGACUGAGGGACAGCUUUUUCUAUCAGGUCACCAGACUGCUGAACAGUGACACUUCAUAGACACCUCACUCUCACCUACCGGAACGUCAACACUAUACACUCCAUAUUGUACAUAUAUGCCAUUUCUUUUGCACUAUACUCAAACUGCUGACCUAUGUAUAUUUAACAUAUAUGUAUAUAUACACACACACAGAUAGAUAGAUAGAUAGAUAGAUAGAUAGAUAGAUAGAUAGAUAGAUAGAUAGAUAGAUAGAUAGAUAGAUAGAUAGAUAGAUAGAUAGAUAGAUAGACAUGGCAUACAUAUUAGUAAUGUGCAUACAUUCUUAUAAUUGUACAUUCCUCUUCUUAUAUUUGACUUGUUUCUUAUGUUUCUUGUAUUUUUCCAUACCACUGUUGCUUGUGAAGCUCGCAUACCAGAAUCUCACUCACAUGUCCUGUACCAGUGUAUCAGUUAUGUGACGUGACAAUAAAAGUGCUUUGAUUUGA